AACGAACGCUGGCGGCAGGCUUAACACAUGCAAGUCGAACGGGCGUAGCAAUACGUCAGUGGCGGACGGGUGAGUAACACGUGGGAAUAUGCCUUUCGGUUCGGAACAACUCGGGGAAACUCGUGCUAAUUCCGGAUACGCCCUUACCGGGGAAAGGAAUUUAUCGCCGAAGGAUUAGCCCGCCGUUGGAUUAGCUAGUUGGUGAGGUAAUGGCCCACCCAAGGCGACGAUCCAUAGCUGGUUUGAGAGAACGACCA
rnacentral:rRNA from 1 species